GCCCCGUCCGGGCCUCCGGGAUGCCUUCUAAGCAGCGGGUCGCAGGUUCGAGUCCUGCCGGGGGCG
rnacentral:tRNA from 1 species